rnacentral:rRNA from 1 species
UAGGGAAUCUUCGGCAAUGGGGGGAACCCUGACCGAGCAACGCCGCGUGAGUGAAGAAGGUUUUCGGAUCGUAAAGCUCUGUUGUUAAGGAAGAACGAGUGUGAGAAUGGAAAGUUCAUACUGUGACGGUACUUAACCAGAAAGGGACGGCUAACUACGUGCCAGCAGCCGCGGUAAUACGUAGGUCCCGAGCGUUGUCCGGAUUUAUUGGGCGUAAAGCGAGCGCAGGCGGUUAGAUAAGUCUGAAGUUAAAGGCAGUGGCUCAACCAUUGUAGGCUUUGGAAACUGUUUAACUUGAGUCCAGAAGGGGAGAGUGGAAUUCCAUGUGUAGCGGUGAAAUGCGUAGAUAUAUGGAGGAACACCGGUGGCGAAAGCGGCUCUCUGGUCUGUAACUGACGCUGAGGCUCGAAAGCGUGGGGAGCGAACAGG